rnacentral:rRNA from 1 species
UACGUAGGGUCCAAGCGUUGUCCGGAAUCAUUGGGCGUAAAGCGCGCGUAGGUGGCUUCGUAAGUCCGUUGUGAAAGUCAAAGGCUCAACCUUUGAAAGCCGAUGGAUACUGCGGAGCUAGAGUACGGAAGAGGCGAGUGGAAUUCCUGGUGUAGCGGUGGAAUGCGCAGAUAUCAGGAGGAACACCAAUAGCGAAGGCAGCUCGCUGGGACGUUACUGACACUGAGGCGCGAAAGCGUGGGGAGCGAACAGG